AGGACAAACGCUGGCGGGGUGCGUGAGACAUGCAAGUCGAACGAGGUGCCAUCGGGCUUGCUCGAUGGCUACCUAGUGGCGGACGGCUGAGUAACGCGUAGGUGACCUACCCGGAAGUGGGGAAUAACUGCCCGAAAGGGUGGCUAAUACCGCAUACGGUCGACGAUUCGUUUCGUCGUCCAAAGGAGUAAUCCGCUUCCGGCGGGGCCUGCGUCCGAUUAGCUAGUUGGUGGGGUAACGGCUCACCAAGGCGACGAUCGGUAGCUGGUCUGAGAGGAUGAUCAGCCAGACUGGGACUGAGAACGGCCCAGACUCCUACGGGAGGCAGCAGUCGGGAAUUUGCCCAAUGGACGAAAGUCUGAGGCAGCAACUCCGCGUGGGGGACGAAGGCUCUCGGGUCGUAAAACCUCUUUUCUCAGGGAAGAUCCAAGACGGUACCUGAGGAAUAAGCCACGGCUAACUACGUGCCAGCAGCCGC
rnacentral:rRNA from 1 species